AAAUAAAAUGAUUUUUCUUUCCUGGUGACUCUUUACUUUUCCCUUUAGUGAAAAUUCCAUCUCGCGACAGCAAAAACCCUUGUGACAGGCACUUCCACUGAACAAUUGGCGUCCGUGUGGCACUCAAUGGAGGAGGCCGCCUACAAGCUUCUACUCUCAUGCCCUUAUGGUCUCUCUGCUUCUCAGGUAUCCGUGGUUUUAGAUCAAUUAUACGAUAGAAUUCGCCAUCCUGAUGAUGAAUUAGAAAACUCCAUCGCUGAGAUAUGGGAUCAAAGGGCACAGAAGAACACAUCAUUGUACAAUGGUAAAAAGUUCCGGUAUGGAGGGCAUAAUGUCCACAGUGGAGAUGGAUCAAACAAAGAUUCUCAUGUAUGGCUCCAACUUGGUUUGACAGAUUAUAGGACUUUUGUGGGGACAAACUUGAGUCCUUUGUGGGAAAAGUUCCUUGUUCCAUCAGAAGAUGACCCUAUACAAUGUCAACAUAUGUCAAGUCCACUGGGCAAUGGUGCAGUUGUGGAGACAUCUGACAAGAAAAUAGUUGUGUUGCGAAGAAGUUCUAAUGUUGGGGAAUUUCCUGGACAUUUUGUUUUCCCUGGAGGUCAUCCAGAGCCUGAAGAAGUUGGAAUAGACUCUGAUCAGAGUGACAAAGACUCUGAGAUGAUCAAUAAGAAGGCUUCUCAAGAGAUGUUUGACAGUAUCAUUCGUGAAGUAGUUGAGGAAAUUGGUGUACCAGCAAUGUCUCUUUGUAAUCCACUUUUUAUUGGUAUAUCCCGCCGGGUGUUAAAUGUUAGACCUGCUGCCUUUUUCUUCAUCAGGUGCAACCUUUGCUCAGAAGAAAUUCAACAACUGUAUUGUAAUGCUCAAGAUGGCUAUGAAUCAACACAACUUUUUACAGUUCCAUUGGUUGAAUUAGAAAGUAUGGCAUCGAAAAUGCCUGGCUGCCAUCAGGGCGGGUUUGCUCUCUAUAAGCUGAUGGUGGAAGCUUUGAAGAAUACCUGAUUAUUAAUCGCUGCUGAACAAUUGAAGUUGUUUUCUCUUGGCAUCUCUGUAGUCCUCAGUGACAUCAUUAUGAUGUCAAUUCACUUGGUAUUCAUUUUGCAAUUAUUAUAACAAGAAGGCACGCUGCUUUAGUCUUUCCUUGCUUGCACAGAGAUGAUUAUGCAAAGGGAUUCAAAUAGCUCAUUACCAGCAGUGCUUCAUGGUGCUUAUGCCUUUUAAUCCAUGUGGUUAGGCGCCUUAUGUUGUUGGGCACAACAACAUUAUCAUGAACUAAUGCAAGAAUUGCAAGAAAAUGUUGUAUUGAUCAAAAUAGUUGCAUAGAAGUCUAAUCGAAGUUGCACACAGGAGCUCAUGUCAAGUACAUGCAGUACUAUUAUCAGAUCAUCAGAUCACUUCACAUUUUGUUAGGCCUCCUUUAGAUGUAAACUUACUGAUGACCGAACUAUGGAAUUCUUCUGGUUGCAUCACGGUAAAUUGACAUAGUUAAUUCUUUAUAUAUUUCCUAAAAACAUUACUUCUUCUGGGUUUAUGGGAUUCUUAGUACACAUGUAUUUCCUUAGAUUACACAAAACAUGGAUUCCUGUGUAAUCUCAUGGUCUCUCUUUGUUCACAACGCAUUUUUGAGUUCUUGUUCUUCAAUUAAUUUUAACUUAGAAACACCAUAUUUAUACCGA